rfam:Human coronavirus HKT1 strain N5P8 genotype A/B recombinant, complete genome.
AUGUUAUCUUCAGCCGAACAGACAGCCUAUGCUCAAGCCAUUACUGGAGCCCACAAGGUAAUCUAGGUGGUAAUUGCGCGGGUAAUGUCAUUGGUAAUGAUGCUCUA